rnacentral:rRNA from 1 species
GUGGGGAAUAUUGGACAAUGGGCGAAAGCCUGAUCCAGCCAUGCCGCGUGUGUGAAGAAGGUCUUCGGAUUGUAAAGCACUUUAAGUUGGGAGGAAGGGUAGUAACCUAAUACGUUGCUACUUUGACGUUACCGACAGAAUAAGCACCGGCUAACUUCGUGCCAGCAGCCGCGGUAAUACGAAGGGUGCAAGCGUUAAUCGGAAUUACUGGGCGUAAAGCGCGCGUAGGUGGUUCAGUAAGUUGGAAGUGAAAUCCCCGGGCUCAACCUGGGAACUGCUUUCAAAACUGCUGAGCUAGAGUACGGUAGAGGGUGGUGGAAUUUCCUGUGUAGCGGUGAAAUGCGUAGAUAUAGGAAGGAACACCAGUGGCGAAGGCGACUACCUGGACUGAUACUGACACUGAGGUGCGAAAGCGUGGGGAGCAAACAGGAUUAGAUACCCCGGUAGUCC